rnacentral:rRNA from 1 species
UACGUAGGGGGCAAGCGUUGUUAGGAUUUACUGGGCGUAAAGGGCGUGUAGGCGGCGUGACAAGUCACUUGUGAAAUCUCCGGGCUUAACUCGGAACGGCCAAGUGAUACUGUUGUGCUAGAGUGCAGAAGGGGCAAUCGGAAUUCUUGGUGUAGCGGUGAAAUGCGUAGAUAUCAAGAGGAACACCUGAGGUGAAGACGGGUUGCUGGGCUGACACUGACGCUGAGGCGCGAAAGCUAGGGGAGCAAACGGG